UGGAUCGAUGAUGACGACCAGUGGCAUAUGAGUCAUAUACAUGAAUAUUACGUGUCUGGAACUCUGAGGUCCAA
ensembl:snoRNA SNORD114-30 small nucleolar RNA, C/D box 114-30